AGAAAUGGAAGAAAAGAGAAAAGGAGAGAGAAAAAAGAAUAGAGCGUGAUAACAGAUCAAUAGAGAAAAACACAAAGACAGAAGAAGAGAAAAAGGAAGGUACAAGAAUAAAUGCGUUUAUUUAGUAUUUAUAAUGAGCUGCAAUUCUAAAUGAUGGGUUCCAUUGCAUCUUAACCAAAGUUGAAUGUAGACAAAACUGUAUUUUUCUCUUCUGUUGCUUCUGUAGUUAAGCAAGGGGUACAGUGAAUUUACUGUUAACACUGUAACCACCUGCAGGUUCUUCUUGCCCACUGCUGAUUUAUCAAGACAGCAGGAUUGCAGUAGAGAAAGGGUUUAGUAUGUGUAGAGCUGGCGAAAGGUCAAGCCAAGGCUUUCUUAUUACUCAAAUUAGCCACCCUGAAAAUUCAGAGGGUAGGGUUUUUCAGAGAUACUUUGGUGGGCAGGGGCUAGAGAAUGGAGACACUGAUUGUUCAGGCCAGGGAUGAAAUUGCAGGGAGUCACAGCUGUCCUCUUGUGCUGACUCGGUUCCUGGGUGGGGGCCACAAGACAGGAUGAGCCAGUUUACCAGUCUGGGUGGCCCCAGCUCAUCCAUAAGAAUGCAGGGAUUGAAAAAUGCCUGGAACACCAAUCUUAGGUUUUACAAUAGAAAUGUUACCCAUUGGAGCAACUGAGGAAGUGAAGUGAUCUUCUAGCCUCUGGCUGCAUGGC
rnacentral:lncRNA from 1 species